rnacentral:lncRNA from 1 species
AAGAAAAUCUUUAUUUGACAAGACAUGAAAGGGUUUUUUCUUUAGUUCAUGAUUAUUUUAGCUGGAUGAGUUCCAGUUGGUAGAUUGUUGAACAGUGGUAAAUGCAGAACCAAAAAUAGAGGCAACCAAGUUUUCAUGUUUUUUCAAGACUCAACCUAACACUGCUUUGCAAGUGGUUUCACCUUUCCCUUUGCCACAUGCUUUGGUUUUGAAGUGACCAUACAUCAACUCAUGAUUUUUAUUUUUUUUUGACACUGCUUUGCAAGUGGUUUCACCUUUCCCUUUGCCACAUGCUUUGGUUUUGAAG